rnacentral:rRNA from 1 species
UCGGGAAUUUUGGGCAAUGGGGGAAACCCUGACCCAGCAACGCCGCGUGAAGGAUGAAGUAUUUCGGUAUGUAAACUUCGAAAGAAUAGGAAGAAUAAAUGACGGUACUAUUUAUAAGGUCCGGCUAACUACGUGCCAGCAGCCGCGGUAAUACGUAGGGACCAAGCGUUGUUCGGAUUUACUGGGCGUAAAGGGCGCGUAGGCGGCAUGACAAGUCACUUGUGAAAUCUCUGGGCUUAACCCAGAACGGCCAAGUGAUACUGUCGCGCUAGAGUGCAGAAGGGGCAAUCGGAAUUCUUGGUGUAGCAGUGAAAUGCGUAGAUAUCAAGUGGAACACCAGUGGCGAAGGCGAGUCCCUGGACAACUCCUGACACUGAGGCACGAAAGCUAGGGGAGCAAACAGGAUUAGAUACCCCCGUAGUCC